AUUGAACGCUGGCGGCAGGCCUAACACAUGCAAGUCGAACGAGUGGCGGACGGGUGAGUAAUGUCUGGGAAACUGCCUGAUGGAGGGGGAUAACUACUGGAAACGGUAGCUAAUACCGCAUACCAUCGGAUGUGCCCAGAUGGGAUUAGCUAGUUGGUGGGGUAAUGGCUCACCUAGGCGAAGAUCCCUAGCUGGUCUGAGAGGAUGACCAGCCACACUGGAACGUAUACACGGUCCAGACGCUGACGGUGGGCAGCAGUGGGAAAUAUGGCACAAUGGGCGCAAGCCUGAGGCAGCCAUGCCGGGUGUAUGAAGAAGGCCUUCGGGUUGUAAAGGACUUUCAGCGGGGAGGCGUUACCCGCAGAAGAAGCACCGGCUAACUCCGUGCCAGCAGCCGCGGUUAUUC
rnacentral:rRNA from 1 species